rnacentral:misc_RNA from 1 species
AACGCACCUUGCACUCCUUGGUAUUCCGAGGAGUAUGCCUGUUUGAGUGUCAUUAAAUUCUCAAACCUCACUGGCUUUAUUGACAGUGAGGCUUUGGAUGUGGGGGCUGCUGGACUCUAACGAGAUCAGCUCUCCUUAAAUGCAUUAGUGGUUACUGUUUUCCACUACCAGGUGUGAUAAUAUCUACGCCUCGGUGGAAAUGUUAAGUGUAGCUGCUUUCUAACCGUCCAUGCAAUGUGGACAACUUGAAACAUUUGACCUCAAAUCAGGUAGGACUACCCGCUGAACUUAA